GUUGAUCAUGGCUCAGGAUGAACGCUAGCUACAGGCUUAACACAUGCAAGUCGAGGGGCAGCAUGGCUUAGCUUGCUAAGAUUGAUGGCGACCGGCGCACGGGUGAGUAACGCGUAUCCAACCUUCCCUAUAGUAGGGGAUAGCCCGUAGAAAUGCGGAUUAAUACCCUAUGUUGUAUUUCGAUGACAUCUGACGAAUACCAAAGGUUCACCGCUAUAGGAUGGGGAUGCGUCUGAUUAGGUAGUCGGCGGGUAACGGCCCACCGAGCCAACGAUCAGUAGGGGUUCUGAGAGGAAGGUCCCCCACAUUGGAACUGAGACACGGUCCAAACUCCUACGGGAGGCAGCAGUGAGGAAUAUUGGUCAAUGGGCGAGAGCCUGAACCAGCCAAGUAGCGUGCCAGGAUGACGGCCCUAUGGGUUGUAAACUGCUUUUAUGCGGGGAUAAAGUGAGGGGCGUGUCCCUUAUUGUAGGUACCGCAUGAAUAAGGACCGGCUAAUUCCGUGCCAGCAGCAGC
rnacentral:rRNA from 1 species